GAUGAACGCUGGCGGCGUGCCUAAUACAUGCAAGUCGAGCGAACAGACGAGGAGCUUGCUCCUCUGACGUUAGCGGCGGACGGGUGAGUAACACGUGGAUAACCUGCCUAUAAGACUGGGAUAACUUCGGGAAACCGGAGCUAAUACCGGAUAAGAUAUUGAACCGCAUGGUUCAAUAGUGAAAGACGGUUUUGCUUGCACGUUUUGAUGGAUCCGCGCUGGAUUAGCUAGUUGGUAAGGUAACGGCCUACCAAGGCAACGAUGCGUAGCCGACCUGAGAGGGUGAUCGGCCACACUGGAACUGAGACACGGCCCAGACUCCUACGGGAGGCAGCAGUGGGGAAUUUUCGACAAUGGGGGAAAGCCUGACGGAGCAACGCCGCGUGAGUGAUGAAGGUCUUCGGAUCGUAAAACUCUUUUAUUAGGGAAGAAAAGAUGUGUACGAACAUAGGGACGUAUUGACGGUACCUAAACAGAAAGCCACGGCUAACUACGUG
rnacentral:rRNA from 1 species